rnacentral:rRNA from 1 species
GAUGAACGCUGGCGGUCUGCUUAACACAUGCAAGUCGAACGAUGAACCCGGAGCUUGCUCCGGCGGAUUAGUGGCGAACGGGUGAGUAACACGUGAGUAACCUGCCCUUGACUCUGGGAUAACUGCGGGAAACUGUAGCUAAUACCGGAUACGACCCUCGGCGGCAUCGCCAGGGGGUGGAAAGAAUUUCUGUCAAGGAUGGACUCGCGGCCUAUCAGCUAGUUGGUGAGGUAACGGCUCACCAAGGCGACGACGGGUAGCCGGCCUGAGAGGGGGACCGACCACACUGGAACGGAGAAACGGCCCAGACUCCUACGGGAGACAGCAGUGGGGAAUAUUGCACAAUGGGCGCAAGCCUGAUGCAGCAACGCCGCGUGAGGGAUGACGGCCUUCGGGUUGUAAUCCUCUUUUAGUAGGGAAGAAGCGAAAGUGACGGUACCUGCAGAAAAAGCACCGGCUAACUACGUGCCAGCAGCCGCAGUAAUAC